rnacentral:rRNA from 1 species
UGCCAGCAGCCGCGGUAAUACGAAGGGGGCUAGCGUUGUUCGGAAUUACUGGGCGUAAAGGGCGCGUAGGCGGCGUGACAAGUCACUUGUGAAAUCUCCGGGCUUAACCCGGAACGGCCAAGUGAUACUGUCGUGCUAGAGUACAGAAAGGGCAAUCGGAAUUCUCGGUGUAGCGGUGAAAUGCGUAGAUAUCGAGAGGAACACCUGAGGCGAAGGCGGGUUGCUAGGCUGAUACUGACGCUGAGGCGCGAAAGCUAGGGGAGCGAACGGGAUUAGAUA